CAGCUCGAUGAGGACGACAUCGUCAUCUACCUCCUCACCGGGCUCGACUCCAGCUAUGACCCCCUGGUCACCUCGGUCACCACUCGGGUUGAUGCGAUCUCCCUCAACGACCUCUACUCCCACAUGCUCGAUUUUGAGA
rfam:Triticum urartu cultivar G1812 contig742321, whole genome shotgun sequence.